rnacentral:sRNA from 1 species
AACUAGCCCAGACUGAAAUGAAAAGCCUUUUGCUCGAAAAACUAUAUUUUUUUGCUGUUACAGAGCGACCGGAGGAAGCUCCUGUAACGGCGUUAAAAAUAUGUUUUUUGAGCAAAAGCUUGAAAUGUAAGGCUGGAAAUAGC